AGAGUUUGAUCCUGGCUCAGAUUGAACGCUGGCGGCAGGCCUAACACAUGCAAGUCGAGCGGAAACGAUGGAAGCUUGCUUCCAGGCGUCGAGCGGCGGACGGGUGAGUAACGCGUAGGAAUCUGCCUGGUAGUGGGGGAUAGCCCAGAGAAAUUUGGAUUAAUACCGCAUACGCCCUACGGGGGAAAGCAGGGGAUCUUCGGACCUUGCGCUAUCAGAUGAGCCUGCGUCGGAUUAGCUAGUUGGUGGGGUAAAGGCCUACCAAGGCGACGAUCCGUAGCUGGUCUGAGAGGAUGAUCAGCCACACUGGGACUGAGACACGGCCCAGACUCCUACGGGAGGCAGCAGUGGGGAAUAUUGGACAAUGGGCGCAAGCCUGAUCCAGCCAUGCCGCGUGUGUGAAGAAGGCUCUAGGGUUGUAAAGCACUUUCAGCAAGGAGGAAAGGGGUUCCGUUAAUACCGGAAUCCUGUGACGUUACUUGCAGAAGAAGCACCGGCUAACUCCGUGCCAGCAGCCGCGGUAAUACGGANGGUGCAAGCGUUAAUCGGAAUUACUGGGC
rnacentral:rRNA from 1 species